CUCAGCUUUCCACCAAGUGCAGAAGACCCCAGGGGGAGCCUUGCUGUUGGAGAGCAUGGAGGGAGAGAGAGAGGGCAGGUGGCCGGGGAAAGGGGGUCGGACAAGGGCCACAAGCACAAGCAGCAGCUGCUAACAUCUCUGUCUUUCCCCUUCUGCAAGGAAAGAGUGGUCAUCUCCUGUCAUCCAUCCCUGUCCUAAUAAUAGAUGACACCAAGUCAGCACUAAAUAGAGAUUGGAGAUUGAGGGAUCAGAAGGAGAGUUGUUGAAACAACAGGAUGAGGUGAAGGACAAGACCUCAGGUUAAACAGUACAUUCAGAG
rnacentral:lncRNA from 12 species